AGGAUGAACGCUGGCGGCGUGCUUAACACAUGCAAGUCGAACGAUGAAGGCUGGAGCUUGCUCUGGCUGGAUUAGUGGCGAAGGGUGAGUAACACGUGAGUAACCUGCCCCAGACUCUGGGAUAAGCGCUGGAAACGGCGUCUAAUACCGGAUACGAGCUUCCACCGCAUGGUGAGGAGCUAGGAAAGUAAUUUCGGUCGUGGGAUGGACUCGCGGCCUAUCAGUCUUGGUUGGUGAGGUAAUGGCUCACCGAAGGCCGACGGACGGUAGGCCGGCCUGGAGGAGGGUGACGUCGGACCACGCGU
rnacentral:rRNA from 1 species